rnacentral:rRNA from 1 species
UACGUAGGGGCCGAGCGUUGUCCGGAGUUAUUGGGCGUAAAGCGCGCGCAGGCGGCCUCGCGCGCCCGACGUGAAAGCCCCCGGCUUAACCGGGGAGGGUCGUUGGGGACGGCGGGGCUUGAGGGCGGGAGAGGUCGGUGGAAUUCCCGGUGUAGUGGUGAAAUGCGUAGAUAUCGGGAGGAACACCAGUGGCGAAGGCGGCUUCCUGGCCUGUUCUUGACGCUGAGGCGCGAAAGCGUAGGGGAGCAAACGGG